GGCUUUGGGGCGGUUUGCGGCAAUGGGAUCGUUGGGCGGUGGGCUGUGUGGAUGAGGCUCCGCUGGUCCGCAAAAAGGAGCGAAGGCGCGAGAGUCGGAAAGUUCUGCCUCAGGGACCUGUUCGCGUCUUAGCCGCAGUGAAUGUUGCUGAACCCCGGUAACUUCACAGUGGAGGGGCGGCCCCAUGGGGCCAUCGGACCGCGCUGCGCGGGGGCGUUCGCCAGGGCCUCCGCAGAAGCCCGCCUGUGCCCGCAGCCGCCCCGAAAUCCUCUCCCUGACACCGUGUCCGCUUUACGGAGCCCGGAGCAAGGCUCAUAAAAAUGUCCCAGCCAAAAACAUGGUACAUGCCUGUCAUCAGGAUUGCCCUUUACAGUUCAUGAGUUCCCCCACUGGAGUGCAGACUAGAGCACUGAUUGAUGGACCAGGUAGACUUGAAACCAGGAAUAGCACAAAAGUUAUCAAAGAGGCUCAGCCAUGGAGAUUGCAAGCUGGGGAUGGAAGUAUCCCUGGAGUUGAGCUGUUCUCACACCUGGUACCUGAGUUAUACCCCUGGUGCUGGGUACCAAGG
rnacentral:lncRNA from 1 species